rnacentral:rRNA from 1 species
UGGGGAAUUUUGCACAAUGGGCGGAAGCCUGAUGCAGCGACGCCGUGUGGGGGAUGAAGGCCUUCGGGUUGUAAACUCCUUUCGUCAGGGACGAAGUUUGUUUGACGGUACCUGGAUAAGAAGCACCGGCUAACUACGUGCCAGCAGCCGCGGUAAUACGUAGGGCGCGAGCGUUGUCCGGAUUUACUGGGCGUAAAGGGCUCGUAGGUGGUGUGUUGCGUCGUCUGUGUAAUCCAGGGGCUUAACUUUUGGUUGGCAGGCGAUACGGGCAUUGCUUGAGUGCUGUAGGGGAGACUGGAAUUCCUAGUGUAGCAGUGAAAUGCGCAGGUAUCAGGAGGAACACCGAUGGCGAAGGCAGGUCUCUGGGCAGUUACUGACGCUGAGGGGCGAGAGCAUGGGUAGCGAACAGG